CAAUAGAGCAUGGUGUGUGCAUUAAAGAGAGCUCACCAGCUGCAGUAACUGCUAUUCAAUGUAGAGGGAGCACUGGUCCGGUACAACUGUGAUUUAUGGACUUCAUCAACCAACCAACCAAUGCAAGGCUGCGUCGAAGAUUUGAAGAAAGAGACAUCCUCGACGUUUUGAUGACCUCUGAAGGACAGAGGAGGUUUCACGAUGGUGACGCUUACCAGCCUGCCCACAGGCAGUCUUCUCAUGGUACGAACUACAGGUAAAUAAAUAAAUAUACACGACUACCCUUAGUUAUUCAGAGACCGUUCCAUCUGCACACACACACAUGCCAAGUGCAUGUAUGCAGAAGCAGUGUAACAAUAAACAAGCUGGGCCAAGUUCUCGCUCGCCAUGCAGUUUACAUUGACACGGCCUGGAAACGAGGAUCAGAAAUCA